CUAUAGUCUUACGACCAUACUGCCUAGUCUUACGUAUUUCUUUUCUUCAAAUUUAAAUUCUUAAUAUAUUGUCUUUCGUAAGUAUUCCAAUUAGUAGUUUUCGUAAGUAUAGUCAAUUCCAGGUAAAGUAUAAUCCAUUUUUCCAAUUGUCAAAUCCAGAGUAAAUAUCAAUUCAGUACGAUUUUCCUCGUCAGUGAAUAUGUUUCAUACUAUCCGUAAAAUAUGUUUUUACUAUCCUCUUCUUAAUUUAAAGCUUCAUUGAGAUAUAGAAUUUGCAAUUCCACUAUUUGCUCUUUGCUCCAUGUAUUGAGCGUGCUUCAAAAUUUCAAAAACUUAGAGAUAAAUUAUAUGAAAUAUGGACACCCAAAAAUUUCACUUCAGAUGUAGUGGGUAACAAACAAUUAUUAUAUUGCACAGCAGGUGUACUGUGACAAUGUUUACCAAAUACAAUAACUUUAGACUUGGAUGGAUUCACACUGAGAUCAAGGAAUCCCUAUUUGUAAUAACUCAAGGCAUAGAAUAUCUAUGUUUACACUAUUAAAAGCACCUGCGAUGUCAAAGAAUACACCGACCAAGUUUUCAUUUGCGGAUAUAGAGUUUUGUAUAUCCAGCUGUAACUGGCAA